rnacentral:rRNA from 1 species
AAGUAAAAGUCGUAACAAGGUUUCCGUAGGUGAACCUGCGGAAGGAUCAUUAUUGAAUAAUCUUGGUUAGGUUGUUGCUGACUCUUCUAGGAGGGUAUGUGCACACCUAAUACCAAUUUUCUACCACCUGUGCACCUUUUGUAGACUUGGAAUACUUCUCGAGGUAACUCGGUUUGAGGAUUGCUAUUGGCUUCCCUUGCAAUUCCAGUCUAUGUUUUGAUUAUACCCCUACUGUAUGUCUAUGAAUGUAUUUUUUAAUAGGCUUUUUAUGCCUUUAAAAACUAUACAACUUUCAACAACGGAUCUCUUGGCUCUCGCAUCGAUGAAGAACGCAGCGAAAUGCGAUAAGUAAUGUGAAUUGCAGAAUUCAGUGAAUCAUCGAAUCUUUGAACGCACCUUGCGCUCCUUGGUAUUCCGAGGAGCAUGCCUGUUUGAGUGUCAUAAAAUUCUCAACCUUUUCAACCUUCUUCUUUUUGUUGUUGGUUGAUCAGGCUUGGAUUGUGGGAGUUUGCGGGCUUCUGAAGAAGUCGGCUCUCCUUAAAUGCAUUAGCAGGGACCUUUAUGUUGCCUAAGCAUUGGUGUGAUAAUUAUCGACGCCAUUGACCAAGCAGCUAUUAAAUUGGGGGGUCUCAGCUUCUAACUGUCUCCUUUAUGGACAACU